UGUGGGAGCGAGCCUGCUCGCGAAGCAGGCGCUGCGGUCCUUCAGAUACAUCGCUGCGAUCCCAUCGCGAGCAGGCUCGCUCCCACA
rnacentral:misc_RNA from 1 species